rnacentral:rRNA from 1 species
AUUGAACGCUGGCGGCAUGCCUAACACAUGCAAGUCGAACGAAGGCUUCGGAUCUAGUGGCGCACGGGUGCGUAACGCGUGGGAAUCUGCCCUUGGGUUCGGAAUAACAGUGAGAAAUUACUGCUAAUACCGGAUGAUGUCUUCGGACCAAAGAUUUAUUGUCCAAGGAUGAGCCCGCGUAGGAUUAGCUAGUUGGUGGGGUAAUGGCCUACCAAGGCGACGAUCCUUAGCUGGUCUGAGAGGAUGAUCAGCCACACUGGGACUGAGACACGGCCCAGACUCCUACGGGAGGCAGCAGUGGGGAAUAUUGGACAAUGGGCGAAAGCCUGAUCCAGCAAUGCCGCGUGAGUGAUGAAGGCCUUAGGGUUGUAAAGCUCUUUUACCAGGGAUGAUAAUGACAGUACCUGGAGAAUAAGCUCCGGCUAACUCCGUGCCAGCCGCCGCAGUAAAAC